rnacentral:ncRNA from 2 species
CGAUGAGGUAGAGGAUGCAAAAAGUAUGAGUAUACUAUGUGAGGAUGACAACUGUGAUCAUAGUAAAAAGGAUUUUUUGCCGAAGGAAAGAAAAAGAGUCAGCUUUUCUUUUCUGGGGUUACCUUGAAAAAGGGUAACACUGUCAUUAUGAAAAUACGCUUGUUUUCAUGAUGGAGGGCUACUGAUCGU